rnacentral:rRNA from 1 species
GUAGGUGGCAAGCGUUGUCCGGAAUUAUUGGGGCGUAAAGCGCGCGCAGGCGGUUCUUUAAGUCUGAUGUGAAAGCCCACGGGCUCAACCGUGGAGGGUCAUUGGAAACUGGAGAACUUGAGUACAGAAGAGGAAAGCGGAAUUCCACGUGUAGCGGUGAAAUGCGUAGAGAUGUGGAGGAACACCAGUGGCGAAGGCGGCUUUCUGGUCUGUAACUGACGCUGAGGCGCGAAAGCGUGGGGAGCAAACAGGAUUAGAUACCCUGGUAGUCCACGCCGUAAACGAUGAGUGCUAAGUGUCAGGGGGUUUCCGCCCCUUAGUGCUGCAGCUAACGCAUUAAGCACUCCGCCUGGGGAGUACGGCCGCGAGGCUGA